rnacentral:rRNA from 2 species
UAUACAUGCAAGUCGAACGGUAACAGGAAGCAGCUUGCUGCUUUGCUGACGAGUGGCGGACGGGUGAGUAAUGUCUGGGAAACUGCCUGAUGGAGGGGGAUAACUACUGGAAACGGUAGCUAAUACCGCAUAACGUCGCAAGACCAAAGAGGGGGACCUUCGGGCCUCUUGCCAUCGGAUGUGCCCAGAUGGGAUUAGCUAGUAGGUGGGGUAACGGCUCACCUAGGCGACGAUCCCUAGCUGGUCUGAGAGGAUGACCAGCCACACUGGAACUGAGACACGGUCCAGACUCCUACGGGAGGCAGCAGUGGGGAAUAUUGCACAAUGGGCGCAAGCCUGAUGCAGCCAUGCCGCGUGUAUGAAGAAGGCCUUCGGGUUGUAAAGUACUUUCAGCGGGGAGGAAGGCGAUAAGGUUAAUAACCUUGUCGAUUGACGUUACCCGCAGAAGAAGCACCGGCUAACUCCGUGCCAGCAGCCGCGGUAAUACGGAGGGUGCAAGCGUUAAUCGGAAUUACUGGGCGUAAAGCGCACGCAGGCGGUCUGUCAAGUCGGAUGUGAAAUCCCCGGGCUCAACCUGGGAACUGCAUUC